rnacentral:lncRNA from 1 species
UGAAACAGUGAGCUGUCUUUGUUCGAAAUACAGGUGAACGGCAAUCAUGUGAUUAACACACACACACAUAAAAAGCUUUUUAACAGCGCCCGCCCGGCCUCAGAACCUCCCGGAGAGAAGCCGCCUUGGAUGGACAGAGGGACUGAGCUACAAGCAUCCAGCCAGUCGUGUCCUGGCUCCCCGGCAGCGGUUCCCAACGUCCGCUGCUAUCCGCGCCGGCUGCCCGCCUGCCUGCCUGGCAUCUCUCUCCCGGGACACCGCCUGACCACACCCAAAGGGCCAGAGCCUGGAAGGAGAUGGACAGAAACAUUUAGGCGUAUCAGCCACCUGGCCAUGUCUAGAAUCACAGAAGCCAUAGCUCUGAGGAGGCUGGGCUCAGCUACCAGAACACUCAGUGACUGCUCCAUCUCACCCACCCAUGUGGACAGACCGCUACACAUUAUCACGGACACAGGCUGAGAGUAUGUGUGUGUGCUCAUCUGUCUCUGCUCAGCUGGACUUGCAUCCCAGGGAGGCAGAGGCAGAGGCAGCCAUGGACUUGAGGACUUGGUGGCUGGGUGGCGAAGAACAGUGGGAGAAUGAGGAGAGACCCUGAGUUGAACAACUCCCCCUGUGGCCCUCAAAGAGAAGAAAUGAGUCUCAAAUGCUGCAAGUCAGGGUGCCUGGACACACUGAGGGCUCCUACUUCUGUCUGGUAGCUGAGGGGGAAAGGCUUCCUGGAGGAGGUGACAGAUUAGAUUCAAGUGAAGGCUGAGCACAAAUCCAAACAACAAAACCAGGAACUGCAGCUACAGCAUCCGUGAAAUUUGAAAAUAUUACACUGGGGCUUGAGAGAUGGUGAAGUGGUCAAGAACACUGUCUGCUCUUCCAGAGGACCCAGGUUCUAUUCCCAGUACCCACAUGGUAGCACACAUCUGUCUGUAACUCCAGUUCCAGGGAAUCUGGCAUCCUUACCCCAAU